CUCCGCCCUUUACACCUGGCAGUCAGUAUAGAGAGAGCCGCCUCCAUCUUAGCUCCCUGUCAAUCAUUGUUAUAAGCUCCGCCCUUUACACCUGGCAGUCAGUAUAGAGAGAGCCACCUCCAUCUUAGCUCCCUGUCAAUCAUUGUUAUAAGCUCCGCCCUUUACACCUGGCAGUCAGUAUAGAGAGAGCCGCCUCCAUCUUAGCUCCCUGUCAAUCAUUGUUAUAAGCUCCGCCCUUUACACCUGGCAGUCAGUAUAGAGAGAGACACCUCCAUCUUAGCUCCCUGUCAAUCAUUGUUAUAAGCUCCGCCCUUUACACCUGGCAGUCAGUAUAGAGAGAGCCGCCUCCAUCUUAGCUCCCUGUCAAUCAUUG